GACGAACGCUGGCGGCGUGCUUAACACAUGCAAGUCGAACGGGAGCAUCGAAGAAGCUUGCUUUAGAGAUACUUUAGUGGCGGACGGGUGAGGAACGCGUGAGGAGCUGUCCGAUGCAGGGGGACAACAGUGGGAAACGACUGCUAAUACCCCAUAAGCCGCGAGGUAAAAGGGUUUAUCCGGCAGAGGAGGUACUCGCGUGCUAUCAGCCACUAGGUGAGGUAACGGCUCACCUGGGCGAAGACGGGUAGCCGGCCGGAGAGGGCGAACGGCCACACUGGAACAGGGAGACGGGCCAGACGCCUACGGGAGGCAGCAGUGGGGAAUAUUGGGCAAUGGGGGGGACCCUGACCCAGCGACGCCGCGUGGGUGAAGAAAUCCUUCGGGAUGUAAAGCCCUGUUGUAUGGGAAGAGCGGAAGACGGUACCAUACGAGGAAGCCCCGGCAAACUACGUGCCAGCCGCCGCCGUAAUAC
rnacentral:rRNA from 1 species